rnacentral:rRNA from 1 species
AACGCUAGCUACAGGCUUAACACAUGCAAGUCGAGGGGAAACGAUAUUGGAAGCUUGCUUCCGAUAGGCGUCGACCGGCGCACGGGUGAGUAACGCGUAUCCAACCUGCCCAUCACUUGGGGAUAACCUUGCGAAAGUAAGACUAAUACCCAAUGAUAUCUCUAGAAGACAUCUGAAAGGGAUUAAAGAUUUAUCGGUGAUGGAUGGGGAUGCGUCUGAUUAGCGUGUUGGCGGGGUAACGGCCCACCAAGGCUACGAUCAGUAGGGGUUCUGAGAGGAAGGUCCCCCACAUUGGAACUGAGACACGGUCCAAACUCCUACGGGAGGCAGCAGUGAGGAAUAUUGGUCAAUGGGCGAGAGCCUGAACCAGCCAAGUAGCGUGCAGGAUGACGGCCCUAUGGGUUGUAAACUGCUUUUAUAAGGGAAUAAAGUGAGUCUCGUGAGACUUUUUGCAUGUACCUUAUGAAUAAGGACCGGCUAAUUCCGUGCCAGCAGCCGCGGUAAUACGGAAGGUCCGGGCGUUAUCCGGAUUUAUUGGGUUUAAAGGGAGCGUAGGCCGGAGAUUAAGCGUGUUGUGAAAUGUAGACGCUCAACGUCUGCACUGCAGCGCGAACUGGUUUCCUUGAGUACGCACAAAGUGGGCGGAAUUCGUGGUGUAGCGGUGAAAUGCUUAGAUAUCACGAAGAACUCCGAUUG